rnacentral:rRNA from 1 species
UACAGAGGUCUCAAGCGUUGUUCGGAUUCAUUGGGCGUAAAGGGGUGCGAGUAGGUGGCGCCGUAAGUCAGGUGUGAAAUUUCGGAGCUUAACUCCGAAACUGCAUUUGAUACUGCGGUGCUUGAGGACUGGAGAGGAGACUGGAAUUUACGGUGUAGCAGUGAAAUGCGUAGAGAAUCGGAAGGAACGCCCGUGGCGAAA